CUAGAUAACACAGAUCUGUGUAAAAAAAAUUACACAGAUUGUUGUUCAGUUCCAGCUUUCACAAUCUGGGUAAUUUUCUUACACAGUUCUGUGUAAAAAAAUACACAGAUUUUUGAAGAGCCGUUCUUCCAAAUCUGUGUAAAAAACAGUUGUCAGUUUUUAUCAGGCGGCAUUGGAGGUAUUUGAGAACUUUACUUUGGCCAACUUCCAAACUUCUCCAGUACCCGAUGACACGAUUGUUUGUGGAUCCUGUGGUCCGGCAAGGUUCUCUUGGAACGAUAUUCUCCAUUGGUACAGGUUCCGGAAGCCGGCUUGGUGUGGCACUUUACGACGUCAUCCCAGUUUAAUGGUUUUCAUGUUGUUUGCCGUCGACAUCGGGAGAACCCCAAAAUUACGAUGAUUGCUAGGUGGAAGAACCGGCAGUGCAAAAACCACAUAAAAAUAUCAAAUAUGGCCAACAAUUACUUUAAGAAUAUUUAUUAGAUUAAUAAACGUAAAUUAAUCUUGUUUUCUUUCCAAAA